UUUGUGGUCAAGUUUCUAAGAGCAAACGGUGGAUGCCUUGGCAUCUGGAGCCGAAGAAGGACGUAGAAAUCUGCGAUAAGCCUCGGGGAGCUGAUAAUCGAGCUGUGAGCCGAGGAUUUC
rnacentral:rRNA from 1 species